CAAGUAUACAUUUUAAAAAUUGUUUAAUGGAACAUAAACUCCUUUAGAAAAACAUUCAGCCAGGUGAUAACACCCAUAGAAAAAAACACCAAUCUUGUGUUUAUCUUUUUUAAUUUGGCAUUUGUUAUUUGCAUUUAUAUUAAAGCAAAGUGCAUCUUUUCUUUAUUUUGUUUAUACACAUUGCACAAUACAUAAAUAAUGAUGCUUAUAAAACGUCUUUAUAUUUACAAGACAUGCUCAUUGAGCUAAGAGCAGUGUCAACGUAUCAUACGAGUGUAUGAGUUGUAGAAGAAAUGAUAGGGUUAGGUGUCAGCUCAGGAUGGUACCUUGGGUUAAGAUGGACCGAAUCCUUCUUG
rnacentral:lncRNA from 1 species